GAUGAACGCUGGCGGCGUGCCUAAUACAUGCAAGUCGAGCGAAUGGAUUAAGAGCUUGCUCUUAUGAAGUUAGCGGCGGACGGGUGAGUAACACGUGGGUAACCUGCCCAUAAGACUGGGAUAACUCGGGGAAACCGGGGCGAAUACCGGAUAACAUUUUGAACUGCAAGGUUCGAAAUGGAAAGGCAGCUGCGGCUGGUCCUUAUGGAUGGACCCGCGUCGCAUUAGCUAGUUGGUGAGGUAACGGCUCAACAAGGCAACGAUGCGUAGCCGACAUGAGAGGGUGAUCGGCCACACUGGGACUGAGACACGGCCCAGACUCCUACGGGAGGCAGCAGUAGGGAAUCUUCCGCAAUGGACGAAAGUCUGACGGAGCAACGCCGCGUGAGUGAUGAAGGCUUUCGGGUCGUAAAACUCUGUUGUUAGGGAAGAACAAGUGCUAGUUGAAUAAGCUGGCACCUUGACGGUACCUAACCAGAAAGCCACGGCUAACUACGUGCCAGCCGCCGCAGUAA
rnacentral:rRNA from 1 species